AGCCUAAUUCUAGAUGACAAGUGGGCACUGUUGACUAUGGUAUCCAAAAAUUGUCAGUAUGUGAGACAUAGAUUAUGCUUCCAUAAAAGCGUAGGUAUUCCAGUGGUGACAAGGAGCUCUGUCAUAUUU
rnacentral:snoRNA from 1 species